UGAAAUCCAACACAUCUAUUUUUGAUACGGACGACAAAAAUUCCUUUUUGAAGUGAACCAUUCGAGUUGAUAACGUCCUCGAUCUAUUGAAGUGGCAGAAAAUAGUUCAAGUACCACAAAUCUUUCUGGCCACAAAGUUGUGUCAUAACAUCUCACGUCAACUAGCCUCAAGCUAAAAGAAGAAGAUUACGUACAUAAAAAUAGGGAAGGAAUCAAAUGCGGGAAAUAACAGCUGUGGUAAGUGGAAGGAGUAAAAAU
rnacentral:lncRNA from 1 species